rnacentral:rRNA from 1 species
UACGAGAGGCCCAAGCGUUAUUCGGAAUUACUGGGCUUAAAGAGUUCGUAGGCGGCAUUGCAAGUAGGGUGUGAAAGCCCUCGGCUCAACCGAGGAAUUGCGCUCUAAACUGCAGUGCUUGAGGAACCUAGAGGUGAGCAGAACAGAUGGUGGAGCGGUGAAAUGCGUUGAUAUCAUCUGGAAUACCGGAGGCGAAGGCGGCUCACUGGGAGUUUUCUGACGCUGAGGAACGAAAGCCAGGGUAGCGAACGGG